GGGCAGUGCGGCUGCUAUACAUGCAGUCGAACGCUUCUUUUUCCACCGGAGCUUGCUCCACCGGAAAAAGAGGAGUGGCGAACGGGUGAGUAACACGUGGGUAACCUGCCCAUCAGAAGGGGAUAACACUUGGAAACAGGUGCUAAUACCGUAUAACAAUCAAAACCGCAUGGUUUUGAUUUGAAAGGCGCUUUCGGGUGUCGCUGAUGGAUGGACCCGCGGUGCAUUAGCUAGUUGGUGAGGUAACGGCUCACCAAGGCCACGAUGCAUAGCCGACCUGAGAGGGUGAUCGGCCACAUUGGGACUGAGACACGGCCCAAACUCCUACGGGAGGCAGCAGUAGGGAAUCUUCGGCAAUGGACGAAAGUCUGACCGAGCAACGCCGCGUGAGUGAAGAAGGUUUUCGGAUCGUAAAACUCUGUUGUUAGAGAAGAACAAGGAUGAGAGUAACUGUUCAUCCCUUGACGGUAUCUAACCAGAAAGCCACGGCUAACUACGUGCCAGCAGCCGCGGUAAUACGUAGGUGGCAAGCGUUGUCCGGAUUUAUUGGGCGUAAAGCGAGCGCAGGCGGUUUCUUAAGUCUGAUGUGAAAGCCCCCGGCUCAACCGGGGAGGGUCAUUGGAAACUGGGAGACUUGAGUGCAGAAGAGGAGAGUGGAAUUCCAUGUGUAGCGGUGAAAUGCGUAGAUAUAUGGAGGAACACCAGUGGCGAAGGCGGCUCUCUGGUCUGUAACUGACGCUGAGGCUCGAAAGCGUGGGGAGCAAACAGGAUUAGAUACCCUGGUAGUCCACGCCGUAAACGAUGAGUGCUAAGUGUUGGAGGGUUUCCGCCCUUCAGUGCUGCAGCUAACGCAUUAAGCACUCCGCCUGGGGAGUACGACCGCAAGGUUGAAACUCAAAGGAAUUGACGGGGGCCCGCACAAGCGGUGGAGCAUGUGGUUUAAUUCGAAGCAACGCGAAGAACCUUACCAGGUCUUGACAUCCUUUGACCACUCUAGGAGAUAGAGCUUCCCCUUCGGGGGCAAAGUGACAGGUGGUGCAUGGUUGUCGUCAGCUCGUGUCGUGAGAUGUUGGGUUAAGUCCCGCAACGGAGGCGGCAACCCUUAUUGUUAGGU
rnacentral:rRNA from 1 species